CUUGCUUCUGUAUUGGGGAUGGAGACAUACAACGGAUCCCUCUCAAAUGCUUUCCCUGCCUCAGGUCAGUGACAUUUUGAGGGAAUCAUGGGCAUAAGUAAUAACGGAAAAAUGGCCUUUCUGAAUCAGGCUAAAUAUCCAUUUAGUGCAGGGGGUAGAUAGCGUUUGUUCUGCCAGGGCCACGUUCCCUCAGGGGUAAUCCGUUGGGGACUGCAUGUCAGUGGUAAGCAGGACCAGAGUGAAAUGUGGAUGGGGCCAUCUCUCUCUCUUUCACCUCUUUCCAUCUCCUCCCAGCCUAAUCAGGGGCCUGUUGAGGAAGGGAUAGAUAGCCCAUGCAGGAGUUCACAAUGGGUCAUUUGCAGAGGGCUUUUGAAAUUAGACUGAGCGCCCCCCCCCCCCGCCAUUUUCCUAGAUCGCCCACCCUUGAUUUAGUGGACCAGUCCUCUGUCUGUAAACCUUGGCCAUCCAGAUGCCCUUGAGAAGCUUGCAAACAGGCCAUGAUGGCGAUAGCCCAGCCCAUUUGGCCUCAGUAUCUAGUAGCCAGAGGCAUUCCCACUGCCUCUGAAUGUUUCUCUGUCACCUUUGGGCCUGAGAGGCUGGGGUUUGGGCCUACACCUUCCCCAGAGAGAGCAGCAAUAAAGAGACGUCAGGCAAAGUCACUGGUGACCCGAGGGCACCAUGUACUGGAGCUGAAGUACUUGAGCAAAGGAUCAGCGUGUUCUAGUUCACUCUCCCCUCUCUGUGUCCCCCCCUCCAAGAGUGGCUUUGCAGAAAAGAAGACUUUUCUCUCAGUUGUGCACAGUGCAGAGUUUCCUUCCAGCAAGGUCAAGGUUGGUGCUGGUGGGACCCAUGGAAUUGCUGUGUCUCCUCUGCCUGCCCCCUUUGUUCAGCAAUCACAUGUUUUAGUUUUGGGAUGUCUGCCUCUGCCUCAGUUAGUCUGUUUUGCUGAUCCGAGGGGAGCUGGGCAAAGCCAAGAGGGAGGCCGAAUGCUGAAUCAGCCAUCUGGCUCUGGGAAACAGAUAUUUACCCCUGAUCCCACGGCUGGUCAGAUGCCAGCCACUGAAAAGUGGGUUUCCGCUGGCCAGCCACAGGGAGCAAAGCUCUGGGGAUAUUUGGCUUUGAGGGGGUGAAAUCCCUUGUUUCCUGCAUGAAAUGACAGUUAUUGGGUGUUUGUGUUGCUCCCCCAGCUGUGUUUCCUCCACUAUUUAGAGUUGUAGUCAGGAGAGGAACCAAUAUUUCAGGUUGGGGAAAACGUUGUUGGUGGGGGUUUUUGUGAUUCUCCUUAACUGGGUGCCUGGUGUGUAUUUGAAAGUUUUACAUGUGUAAAUUGCUUUCCUAUCAAUCUGCCUCUUCCAUGUUUUCAAGUGAUCUUAUGAUUGGCUAACAUAAGAACCAAGCCUCAAAUUCCCAGCAGAUAUGAAUUAACAAUGAUGAACACCGCUCUGUUACCACACAUACAUACAAUCAAUGCGGGAACGGGACUGCAUAGUUAGUCCCCCUAACUUUACCUAUUAUCUAACUAUACAGACAAACAAAUUAAUAGCUCACACAAAAACAUCUUCCCAGAAAACAGCAACUCAAGGGUGGUGGCAAGGCAGGAAGGUUUCCAUGGAGACAGGCCCUAUUAAUCCUGUUAGUAAUCUACCCCAGUUCCAGCAGCUUAGAAGGGGGCAGCUGGUGCCUGGCUGUUAUCAGCUUGGCACUUUCCCCCCUGACAGAGCCUUGGUGGGUUCUGUUCUCAUGUAUUGAUUACCCACUUGGGUACCACGGUGCAGAAAGGCCUAAUAAUAAAAUGUUUGUCUCUAAAACUGCAAUGUACCUGGCACCAUGGGUCAGCCUCCCCAUUUUACAUCAGUUUAUCUGUCGCAAGCAUCUUCCAUGUGCACAGAUCAAAAUUUCCUGAUGUUUCUAGUCAGGACACAGGAGUAGAUUGGAAAUAUCUCCCAGUUUUCAUCUUUCACUUCCGCCUUCCAAGCGGUGCUGAAAGGUGCCAGUGGCUCAUCUUCUGUGUAUAUGUUGGACAUGCAACGUCCCCCAAGGGUCAAAGAUCUGCCCUAGAUAUGGGCCAAAACCAUGUAGCCAUACCUGAAGAAUCUUCUUUCCCAGUUAACCCCCCGCCCUGAUUCCACAGGGUUGGAAAAUGGGGAUUGUUCCUUGUACUGAACAUCAUGGGUGAUCCUUCCGAGGCAUCUUGGGCAUCUUCACAAACAUGUCCUAUGAAGCAGGUCACACCGCAACAGAAGGCAAAUAAGGUAGAGUGUGAUGCUGCCAUUCAAAAAAUUGCUUUGACUUUUUACACUGAUUUUAGAUUACCACCAAUAAAGCAGGCAAUGCAGCAGCUAUAGCUUCCCUUGACCGUUCGUACUCUAAGCAACCAUCCACCACAACCACCUGCGUAGCAAGCAAAGAUUCCAGGUGUGCUGCACAGCAGGUUAGUUGAUGUGGGGAGACCCCCCUCUCAGACUCACUGAUGUGGUCCAAAGGAAAGGACAGCAAUACAUUUGGCACCAGCUUGGCUGCAGGAGUUUCUGGAAGGAGGCAUACAAGGCUCCAUCCAACCGCCUUAGGGACUCCACUCUGAAUUUGUGUAGGGUUUACUCCUCAGCCUUUCCUUCUCCUGAAGACAUUCCACAAGGCAGUGGAGGUUUAGGAUCAGAAUUUUCCGUUUCCUAGAUGGGCUAUCUUCCCAGAUUGAUGAGCCCCAUCUGCCUCUUGCUUCCCUCUACUACAGCAUGUGCAGAAACCACCUUCUUGACUGUUGUUCCCACUAUUGGUCUCGUUCACUCAAUUUGCUAGAGGCUGUCUUCGUAUGUAGGUCCUUAACUCCCCAAGGUUUUGAGACCAUCGGCUCCCCUCACCUGUUUUAGCUGACCAGUCGAAGCUAUUUCCCAGGGUUUGAUGGCUGUCACAUGCUGACUGCUUCUAGGAGCCACAGUGCAGGGUGGGGACCAAAGGUGAACAAACUACCCCAGAAAGAGCACAACGUGCCUCCCACCAGCAAUGGCUGCCUAUUCUAUUUUUCCCUCUCCAAGGAUAUUUAUGUGUGUUUCUGUUGCAGGAAAUUCUGUCACUGAAGAAAAAAUAGAUCCAGACCAACUGCUCUGCUCUGGGGGUUUUGAGUGCCCCUCUAAAGCAGUGUUUGGCCAAGACCUGCUUCCUCUUUGAAGCCUGGUGUGUUGGGAAUAAAUGACCCUACAUCCCAGGCAAUAGGGGAGGGCCUCAACGGGGUUGCAUUCAAAUUCUUGUGUCAGUAAGCCCCUCCCACUCUGCAUCUCUGAGCGGCAGCCAGCUGCCCUAGGGGACAAUAGGACUGGAAAUGGCUUUGAUGUCUGAAUGGAGGGAUGGGCCCCCAGGGAGCUGUAUAGUUAAUGAUUGUGCAAGGAGGUAGGAAGAGCAAUAUGUUCUCAGGAUGUUUCUUGGAUGCCCCUUGACCCUCUUGUUAUUCUCACACCCCCUCCUUACUCUCUGCAAUUUCCCUGUAGAGGUGUCAGUUUGGAGAAAAGGAUGUCCUGAGCUGAGCCUUCCUGCUGUCUCAAAGCUGGAGACAGGAAAAUUUCACUGCACUAACUGAGCUCUUCUUUGGACUUCAUUCCCAGGCAGAGGUGGAUUUAGGGGAUCGCGACUGGUUGCACUGCACUGGACACUGAGCCUAGGGGAUGCUACAGGGUACCAUAAAUGUGACAUAGUGAAUUGAGCAGAACGGAAGGCGAGAGGCAAAGGGCGCUGAAUUCUGGCCUGACACAGGGUGCCACUGAAAUUCGAAAGACCCAAGUCUAGCCCAGUCCUAUGUUUCCAAAAGUUCUGAAAGUUUAAUGCCCCCAUUUGGGGUGGGGGAGAAACUGGAUUCAGUUUGCACUUAAAGGUGAACCUAUCAGAUGUGCACUUUCUGAAGCAGUUCACACACCGGAAGAAAAUUCACACUUCUCCAAAUUUUGCAGUGCUGUUCUUUAGCCAAGUAGUGUGUAAAGAAAUGCAUCUACUAGGGUGAUAUGUGAACAAAAAUGCUUGCAUUAAUGAAAAUAACUUAUAAAAAUGCACUGUAGUAGGCAGUGUUAUUUUUCUAGAAAAAGAGGUGCCAGAACUCACCACGAACUCUUUCCUCAUUCUCUUAGAAUGGCAAUGGCACCCACCAGAGAGGAGCAGGUCAAGUCCAGAGCAAAACUCCUUUUCAGAAGGGUAAUUGCAACAUCAAAGGUGGAUAUAGGGGAGCGCAACCUGUUUGGUCGCACUGGGUGCAGGGCUUCAUGGGCGCCACAACUAUGAAGUCCAACGGAAGGCGGGGGGGAGGAUUUUGGUGUUGCAUUUUGCUGCUGGAUGUGCAAAGGGACAGGCUGUAGUACAGAGGGGAAACUUUGCUCCCCCAGAUGUUACUAAUCAUCCUUGGUCAUUCACCAUGCUUGCUGGGGCUGAUGGGAAUUGUUGUGCAGCAACAUCCGGAAGGCCAAAUGUUCCGUACACCUACUGUAGCAGCUUUGCCACGGAUGCGGUAUGUCCCUAUUUGUACAAGGGUGACAAAAGGUAACCCAAAACUGAGGGCUCAUCCACAUUUCCACUUUCCCUGGGGAAACCUGGUGCUUGCUGCCAAGUCAGAGCAAACAUCAAUCAAGUUUUCUCUCCCCGAUUUAGAGCUAAAGAGCAGUUUAUGGGGGGAAAGUGGCAGGGCAAAUGCAAAACCGCUCACACUUAUGCCUAGAAAGCACAGGAGAAGCUGAAAACUACUUGGACCCGUGCUUUCUAGGCACAGGACCAGCGGAAGUGUGGACUCUGAGGGAGCAGGAGCUGAGCUGAUACGGAACCUCUUUGUGCAAAAUUUCCAUCCUGGCUCAGCAGAUGAAUGUAGCCAAGCUGCAACUAAGGCCUUGGAGAUGGGGGAAGGUGGGGGGCGCUGAGAGGAUUAGGGGACAGAGGAGGGUGAGUCUGCUCAUGAGCUAGGAUGGGAAUCUCAAGCCAGGCUGGCCGGGCUGCUUGGCUCAGACACGCAGAGGCCAGAGGCUGACUAAUUUCCCCAGCUUUGUGGCUCAAAAUAGAAAAACUUGAAACAUUGACCCUUCACCCAUCUAAAAACAGCUGUUGGCGCCAUGGGAGCUGGAUUCCACAAGGCCCAGGGCCCAGCUCCAAACUUCUGCACUCCCUUUAGCUUCCAAGCCCAGUGAUGCUGUGCGAUAAGGAGCCGGGCCCAGAACCAUCAGGCACCAGUUCUCAAGGAGACGUUGGGCCAAACAUCCAUCAUAGCUGUGGUCUGGCACAGGCUCGUAGGGGGUGGGGGAGCGGGUUUGAUGGUCUCCACUCUCUUCCUGUGGCUCUGAAUAGAAUCUGCAGCCAGCAUUCCUCAGUAACAUUUCCAGCGCUCAGGAACAGUGAUCGAGGCUGGAGGCAGGCCGCGGUUUCCCGCCCCCACCCUGACCCAAGAGUUGGAAGUGGCUUGAAAAAUGGGUUGCUGCUGCUGAUUUGUUGCCCCUGAAAAUAGGUUCUGAAGAGCCCCCCCCCCCCCCGUUUUUAAAGCCCGUUAGAUUGGAGCAGCACAGGAGUGGGGUGGAUCUAUCCAUGGAAAACGAUGCGUCUUUCAUGCUGCUUCCAAAUCUUUGCAGGAGGACUAUAGCUCAGUGCGCAGUAAAGUACAUGCAAAAUUGUAAGCCCUGGCUACACAUGGUCUCCUAGCUAGUCCACCUAGGGUAACUUGAGCCACACAGGAUAAUGCUGGCAGUACCAGGGAUUCAGGGGGCAAAACAGCCACAAAGUCAUAGGUGGAGAGGUAUUGUCAAAGCAAGAAGCCCAGAAUAAAAUUUAAGAUAUUAACUGAUGCAAAGGAAAGAGGUGGGUUUGCCCUGCCAGACUUUAAACUUUAUUAUGAAUCAGCAGCUUUUUGCUGGUUGAAAGAAUGGCUACUUCUUGAAAAUACAGACAUUUUGGAUCUAGAAGGUUUUAACAACGUAUUUGGAUGGCAUGCAUAUUUAUGGUAUGAUAAGGUCAAAGCACAUAAAGCAUUUAAAAAUCAUAUUGUCAGGAAAGCACUGUUUAAUGUUUGGAUAAGAUACAAGGAUUUAUUGGAAAAUAAAACCCCAAGGUGGUUGUCACCGAUGGAAGCGAAAGCUCUGAAAAGGCUCAAUAUGGAGGCCAAAUGGCCGAAAUAUUGGGAAAUUUUGGAAUAAGAAGGAGACAAAUUGAAUUGCAGAGUUUCGAGAAACUAAAAGACAAAGUGAGAGAUUGGCUUCAUUAUUAUCAGAUAAUGGAGGCUUAUAAUUUGGAUAGAAAAAUUGGCUUCCAGGUGGAAAAAUCAAAACUAGAAACAGAACUGUUAGAACCCAAAACUAAGAAUUUGUCAAGAAUGUAUAACUUGCUGUUGAAAUGGAAUACUCAGGAUGAAACGGUGAAAUCUGCUAUGAUUAAAUGGGCACAAGAUGUUGGACAUAAUAUUAUGUUUGCUGACUGGGAACAGUUAUGGACCACAGGUAUGAAGUUUACGGCAUGUAAUGCCCUAAGAGAGAAUAUUAUGAAAAUGAUAUACAGGUGGUACAUGACCCCAGUCAAGCUUGCAAAAAUCUAUCAUUUGCCCGACAAUAAAUGCUGGAAAUGUAACGAAACUGAAGGUACAUUCUUUCACCUUUGGUGGACGUGCCCAAGGAUUAAGGUUUUCUGGGAAAUGAUAUAUAAUGAACUGAAAAAGGUAUUUAAAUAUAUCUUCUUGAAGAAACCAGAGGCCUUUCUUCUGGGCAUUGUCGGCCAAUUGGUGCCAAAGAAGGACAGAACUUUGUUUAUGUAUGCUACAACAGCAGCAAGAAUACUCAUCGCAAAGUAUUGGAAGACACAAGAUCUACCCACUUUGGAAGAAUGGCAGAUGAAGGUGAUGGACUAUAUGGAAUUGGCAGAAAUGACUGGCAGAAUCCGAGACCAGGGAGAAGAGUCGGUGGAAGAAGAUUGGAAGAAAUUUAAAGACUAUUUACAGAAAAUUAAUGAAUGAUAGAAUGAUGUUGGAUAGUAAUUAAGCGGUUUCCAGCUGUAAUGCUCUAAGAGAAUAUGAAAAAAGGGUUAUAAAUGGGUUAAAAUCUAAGGGUAAGGAUUUGCUGAACCAAUAAAUUGAAGUGGAAUACAAAAAAGGGAGGUACAAGGAGGUCCGGGAAACAAGCUAAAGGAAAAUAAGUAAUAGAAAAUACGUGUGUUUUUUAACUGUUUUUAUUUUGUAUUUUUCUCUUUUCUUUUUCCAUUUUUACUGUAAUAUUUUAAAAAACCUUAAUAAAUAUCUUAUUAAAAAAAAAAUCAAAGCAGCUGAGUUGAUUUUAAUGCCAGACAGAUCCCUGGAAGGUGUUGAAAACAGACUGUCCUAUCAUUGUGUCUGUAAAGAGACUUUGGACCUCCUCCACAUGUUUAGACAAAAGACAGCAGACUUAUGCCUUGAUAGGAUGGCUCUGUGUGAACUUUGCUUUCACAAUAUUGAUCUGAUUUGUUGGCAAGCCCAGCACAGCCUGUCCUGGCAUAGAGUAGCACUGCCACAUCUUUAUAGAGUUUUCAUAGAAUCAGAAUUGUAGAGUUUGUCUAGUCCAACUCCUUGUAACGCAGGGAUUUAGGAUGCCUUAGGCAGAACCUGAAGACUAGGCACCCCAAAUUCUAUGGCACAUAGUCUGGCUUUCUGUUAAAAACGUUCAGGGAUUGACAGACAGAUAUAUUCAGAGCUGGUUACCAGAGGUCUGUCUUAUCACAGGCUUGAACAUCAUGCAAGAUUGUGCAGGCAUAUCUUGUACAUAUAGGUUAGGAUUAUUCGCUAGUCAGAAAUGUAAGUUUUCAGUUACUGUUGUGUCAAAGACAUACGUGAGCCUCAAUUAAUGGUGAUUUGUACACAGAGUUAUGUGUAAAACAUGAGUCCCUUGGCAGCCUGGUUCCUUGUAACACACACAUUUCUCAAGGAGACAUGAAGUCAGGGAUGAGGAACCUGUGGCUGUCCAGAUGUUGAUGGACUCCAACUCCCAUCAGGCCCAGCUUGCAUUGCCCAUGAUCAAGGAUGAAGAGACUUGUAGUGCAGCAACAUCUGAAGUGCUACAUGUCUUAACAUCCCUACGUUAAGGAGAAUGAGCCAGCUCAUCCUGGCUGUGAAUCCUGGAAGACCUGCCCCCUGCCUUGCAGGUCUUUUUCCACCUGGCCUGGGAGGAGAGGGCCCUGACUGACCCCAGCUACAAAAGCUGAGGCUGCCAAACAGACUGUUGCGCUGGGGUUUUGUUUAGAGGGGGAGGGAGGUUGUUGCUGUUAUUGAUCUUUAUUUCUUACAGUUUUAUUUUAGACACAGGAAUGCCAACAACAAUGAAAUCUUUUAGAUCUUACGAUAAUUGUGGAAACUGUUUAAUUUCGUUAGUGCACUUUUUAUUGUUUACAACUACUUUUGUUAUGUUUGUAAUUAGGUGGGGUUUUUUCCAUGUUGUGAGCUGUCUUGAGCAUGGUUUUAACUAUGGAAAGGCAGCAUACAAAUAAAAUGAUGAGAUGAGCCCCGAGACACGUGCUUUGCCAUGCCCUGUAUAAUGCUAUGGUUCUCUGCCAAGGUAUGAACAUGUAGUUGAAAAGGGCACAGUGCAGUGUACGAUGUACUUUCUUCUGAGAAUAUAAGUUCUGUAACAAACUCUUUGGUCCUUCUGCAUCGUGCACAUAGCACUUGCAGGUUUAUUUUUCCAGCUGGUCUCUAUCACUGUGUCCCAAUUUCUAUGCUGCUUGAAUCCUGGUAGGCUGAGCAGGCCCUUACUUGUCAUCCCACCAAUCUCUGGGCUUUCUUACCUAGUGUAUGUCAUAAAGUGGUGAUAGAAAUUAUGUUCAAUGAGUUUCCUAGUCUCAGUCGAUGCAAAUUUGCCGUCCAUGCUCUGGAGUCUCUUACUGGAGAUAGUGUGGACAUGGGCUGCCCUCUGGUGUUCAGAAAUUAAUAAAUCUUCUAUUCCCCCCCCAACACGUUUUUGUUUAUUUUUUCCUUUUGGGGGAGCAUGCACAAGAUACUAAC
rnacentral:lncRNA from 1 species